ACAGCAGUAGCCGCGGGAAUGCGUAGGUGGCAAGCGUUGUCCGGAUUUAUUGGGCGUAAAGCGAGCGCAGGCGGUCAAUUAAGUCUGAUGUGAAAGCCCCCGGCUCAACCGGGGAGGGUCAUUGGAAACUGGUUGACUUGAGUGCAGAAGAGGAGAGUGGAAUUCCAUGUGUAGCGGUGAAAUGCGUAGAUAUAUGGAGGAACACCAGUGGCGAAGGCGACUCUCUGGUCUGUAACUGACGCUGAGGCUCGAAAGCGUGGGUAGCAAACAGGAUUAGAUACCCCUGUAGUCCCUGUCUCUUAUAC
rnacentral:rRNA from 1 species